UACGUAGGGUGCAAGCGUUGUUCGGAAUUACUGGGCGUAAAGGGCGCGUAGGUGGGUUUGCAAGUCGUUUGUGAAAGCCCUGGGCUCAACCCAGGAAUGGCAAGCGAAACUGCAGAUCUUGAGUGUUUGAGAGGAUGACAGAAUUGCAGGUGUAGAAGUGAAAUUCGUAGAUAUCUGCAGGAACACCGGAGGCGAAGGCGGUUGUCUGGCAAAACACUGACGCUAAGGCGCGAAAGCGUGGGGAUCAAACAGG
rnacentral:rRNA from 1 species